GGUGUGCAGCCAGGUUUGGGAAUCCCUGCUGUGGCUGACCUGUCUUGGGAGUCACAUGCUCACAACAUUCUCCCUGGGACAUCGCUGGGUGAAGCUGCGCCCUUCGUCUUCUGUGCCUCCCACCACUGCCCCGCCUGCAGGCGGACCACCUGAUCUUCUCCAUAGGUUGGGACAGUGCUUCUCACGCUGGGAUCAAGGCUUCUGGGAAUCCCAACAGCGCGGCCCGAGAGGCGUCGGGAGGCAGAACGGCCCCCGUCCCCGGCGCCCUCUCUGGGGCCGUCGCUGCUUGGCAAAGACAGGCUGGGGUGAGUGAUCAAACCACGCUGGGUGUCCGGGCCGGUGGCCCCAAGGCCCACACCGCCUUUCACCCUCUUGGCUCGUACUCUGGCUCCUUCGCCGUCCCACCUGCGAAGCCUCCUCUCUUCUCCACCCUAGCCUCCGUCUACUUUUACGAACCUUCGGCGCUCGCCCUGGGGACGUCCUCCCGCCCGGCGACCAUCCCCUGCGUCAGGGCCGCGCCCAGGGCGCCCGGCGCCCCCUCCCCUGCAGGGCCUGGCGCCCGGGGUCCGAGAACGCGAAACCCUUUGGCCCCCUUCACAAGCCGCAGCACCGCUCCACGCAGCCGGCAGACUGCGCCGGAGCCUGGAAGGCGCUCCCCCAAAGCCCCGGGACUUGGGCAGGAGCGGCGCGCGGGGCGGGGCCUCCCCCAAGCCCGUCCCCCCGGCGAGGGCGGAGGGAGGAGGAGGAGGCGGCGGUGGCGGAAGGGGGGCGCGGAACACAAACCCUGCAAGGUUUAUGGUUUUUUUUCUUUUGCAUUUAAUUAAAAAAACAUUUUUUUUCCCCCAAACCAGAGGGGUCCUCCCCGGGGAGGGCGCGGGUCCGGGGCGGCCGGGCCGCGGCGCGGGGCCCCGGCGGGGCCUGGCGGAGGCUGCCGGGCGGCCGCCAUGCGCCUUCUGGGUCCUCCCUCUGCAGCCCGUGCGGGGCCGUCUCGGAGACGCCGCGCCGACGGCUGCUCGAACAUCAGGGACCCUGCAGGGAUCUUUGAGUUGGUGAAACUUGUUGGAAAUGGAACAUAUGGACAAGUUUCUAAGGUAUAGAACCUUCCUUGCCUCCCUGGAAAAAAUCCCACAUGGUUGUGGAAAUCAUGCUGGCCUAUUCCACUGAUCGUCCACGCUGAAGGGACAUAUUGACUCUCUCACAACACAUGAUGCUUCUUUCACGGUUUUUAUUGUAAUGUACCUGAAUUCUGGUUAGUAUUCCAGAAAAGAAAUACAGAUGGCCAACAGACACAUGAAAAGAUGCUCCACAUUGCUAAUUAUCAGAGAAAUGCAAAUUAAAGCUACAAUGAGGUAUCACCUCACACCAGUAAGGAUAGCUGCCAUCCAAAAGACAAACAACAACAAAUGUUGGUGAGGCUGUGGAGAAAGGGGAACCCUCCUACACUGCUGGUGGGAAUGUAAGUUAGUUCAACCAUUGUGGAAAGCAGUAUGGAGGUUCCUCAAAAUGCUCAAAACAGACUUACCAUUUGACCCAGAAUUGCACUCCUAGGAAUUUACCCUAUGAAUGCAGCAAUCAAGUAUGAGAAAGACCAAUGCACCCCUAUGUUUAUUGCAGCACUAUUUAUAAUAGCCAAGAAUUGGAAGCAACCUAAAUGUCCAUCGAUAGAUGAAUGGAUAAAGAAGAAGUGGUACAUAUACAUAAUGGAAUACUACUCAGCCAUGAGAAGAGGGCAAAUCCUACCAUUUGCAGCAACAUGGAUGGAGCUGGAGGGUAUUAUGCUCAGUGAAACAAGCCAAGCAGAGAAAGAGAAAUACCAAAUGAUUUCACUCAUCUGUGGAGUAUAAGAACAAAGGAAAAACUGAAGGAACAAA